AUGUUUGACGGAGUUGAGCGGAUGCUUCGGAGAGUCAGGCAUGUGCCAGGGCUAAGGAGGAAUCUAAUUUCACUUGGUGUUCAUCAUGAUGGUGGUAUGGAAUUCCGUUGUGAUCAGGAUACGAAGACCAUGAAAAUCAUGGAAGAUGGGGUGACUGUGAUGAUAGGAGAGAGGAUGGCUUCACAUCUUUACAAAUUGCAAGGGAGCAUUAUUGCAGGUGGAGCAUGGGGAGUAAAACUGCAAGAGUAG
rnacentral:rRNA from 1 species